UCGUGCAUCGAUGAAGAACGCAGCAAACUGCGAUACCUAGUGUGAAUUGCAGAAUUCAGUGAAUCAUCGAGUCUUUGAACGCAAAUGGCGCUCUCGGUUUCACCGGGAGCACGUCUGUCUGAGC
rnacentral:rRNA from 2 species